GACGUAGGGCGCGAGCGUUGUCCGGAUUUAUUGGGCGUAAAGAGCUCGUAGGCGGUUUGUCGCGUCGUUCGUGAAAACUCACAGCUUAACUGUGAGCUUGCGGUCGAUACGGGCAGGCUAGAGUUCGGUAGGGGAGACUGGAAUUCCUGGUGUAGCGGUGAAAUGCGCAGAUAUCAGGAGGAACACCGGUGGCGAAGGCGGGUCUCUGGGCAACAACUGACGCUGAGGAGCGAAAGCGUGGGGAGCGAACAGG
rnacentral:rRNA from 1 species